rnacentral:lncRNA from 1 species
UUUACCCUCUUGUUACUUCUUUAUGCUUCAUUUCCUCUCUUACUUUUACCAACAAACUUAUCCUUGUUGUUCUUGUCCAUAAUUUCUUGGAUCUCCUCCAAGUCUUUUUCAAGUAUGAAAGCUCUUUCUAAUACAUCAGUGUAUACAUGGAGUUUUAAAAUUGAUAUUCGGCUUCUUAUUGCUGGCCUUAGUCCUCUUUCAAAUCUUCUUGCUUU